rnacentral:rRNA from 1 species
UUGGGACUGAGACACGGCCCAGACUCCUACGGGAGGCAGCAGUGGGGGAUAUUGCACAAUGGGGGAAACCCUGAUGCAGCAACGCCGCGUGAAGGAAGAAGGUCUUCGGAUUGUAAACUUCUGUCCUCAGGGAAGAUAAUGACGGUACCUGAGGAGGAAGCUCCGGCUAACUACGUGCCAGCAGCCGCGGUAAUACGUAGGGAGCAAGCGUUGUCCGGAUUUACUGGGUGUAAAGGGUGCGUAGGCGGCUCGGCAAGUCAGAGGUGAAAUCCAUGGGCUUAACCCAUGAACUGCCUUUGAAACUGCCGAACUUGAGUGAAGUAGAGGUAGGCGGAAUUCCCGGUGUAGCGGUGAAAUGCGUAGAGAUCGGGAGGAACACCAGUGGCGAAGGCGGCCUACUGGGCUUUAACUGACGCUGAGGCACGAAAGCAUGGGUAGCAAACAGGAUUAGAUACCCUGGUAGUCCAUGCCGUAAACGAUGAUUACUAGGUGUGGGAGGACUGACCCCUUCCGUGCCGCAGUUAACACAAUAAGUAAUCCACCUGGGGAGUACGACCGCAAGGUUGAAACUCAAAGGAAUUGACGGGGGCCCGCACAAGCAGUGGAGUAUGUGGUUUAAUUCGAAGCAACGCGAAGAACCUUACCAGGUCUUGACAUCCAACUAACGAAGUAGAGAUACAUUAGGUGCCCUUCGGGGAAAGUUGAGACAGGUGGUGCAUGGUUGUCGUCAGCUCGUGUCGUGAGAUGUUGGGUUAAGUCCCGCAACGAGCGCAACCCUUACUGUUAGUUGCUACGCAAGAGCACUCUAGCAGGACCGCCGUUGACAAAACGGAGGAAGGUGGGGAUGAUGUCAAAUCAUCAUGCCCCUUAUGACCUGGGCCUCACACGUACUACAAUGGCCGUUAACAGAGGGAAGCAAUACCGCGAGGUGGAGCAAAACCCUAAAAACGGUCCCAGUUCGGAUUGCAGGCUGCAACCCGCCUGCAUGAAGUUGGAAUUGCUAGUAAUCGCGGAUCAGCAUGCCGCGGUGAAUACGUUCCCGGGCCUUGUACACACCGCCCGUCACACCAUGGGAGCCGGUAAUACCCGAAGUCAGUAGUCCAACCUCGUGAGGACGCUGCCGAAGGUAGGAUUGGCGACUGGGGUGAAGUCGUAACAAGGUAGCCGUAUCGGAAGGUGCGGCUG